GAUGAACGCUGGCGGUGUGCCUAAUACAUGCAAGUCGAGCGAACAGACGAGGAGCUUACUCCUCUGACGUUAGCGGCGGACGGGUGAGUAACACGUGGAUAACCUACCUAUAAGACUGGGAUAACUUCGGGAAACCGGAGCUAAUACCGGAUAACAUGUUGAACCGCAUGGUUCAACAGUGAAAGACGGUCUUGCUGUCACUUAUAGAUGGAUCCGCGUCGCAUUAGCUAGUUGGUAAGGUAACGGCUUACCAAGGCAACGAUGCGUAGCCGAACUGAGAGGGUGAUCGGCCACACUGGAAGUGAGACACGGUCCAGACUCCUACGGGAGGCAGCAGUAGGGAAUCUUACGCAAUGGGCGAAAGCCUGACGGAGCAGCGCCGCGUGAGUGAAGAAGGUCUUCGGAUCGUAAAACUCUGUUAUUGGGGAAGAACAAAUGUGUAAGUAACUAUGCACGUAUUGACGGUACCUAAUCAGAAAGCCACGGCUAACUACGUG
rnacentral:rRNA from 1 species